rnacentral:lncRNA from 1 species
GUGGGAUUCUCUGGAAUCAAGACAGAUUUUGUCCAAGAGCAGAGCUCUUGCAGAAUAUACAAACUGCCCACUGCACUCCGCAUCAACUUGGCUAAAUGUCCAGCGAGGCAUGAAUAGACAAAACACUUAAGGUAAAGCCUGAAGAACUAAACUGCUUUUCAUCAAGAAUUAAGAUAAGCCCUCUUCAGAUCUUGAUAACUUUUGAAGAAAAGAGAAGCAAACUGUAUUUCAAUUUAAAAGCCUUUGUCAUCAGUAAUAGAAGACUUCCUCAGCUGGAGUGCUAACACCCAGAUUUGGUCUCCUCCUAACACUGUCAGCUCUGAGCCUUGUUGCCCUUGCACAGCCAAUUUGAUCCCAGGAAUACAAAAAUUGAUAGUUUGAGGGCUUUGUUAUAGUUGGUUCUUUUCUUUUUUUUUUCCACUUUGUCAUUGCAGAAGAUACAGGAAGAAAAAAU